rnacentral:rRNA from 1 species
AUUAUAUUAUAAAUUUAAUUUUCAUUUUAUAUUUUCUUAUUUUUUUAUAGAAAUAACUUUCUUUUUAGUAUUUUUUAAAGAAUCAAUAUUUUUAUAUAUUUAUAGUUUAUUUUUACUGUAAAGGUAUAUUCUUAAUAUUAUGGAAGUAGAAUUUAAUUUUUGUACCUUUUGUAUCAGGGUUUAUUAAUAAAAAGUUAAUUAUUAUUUAGAUUUCCCGAAUUUAAAGGAGAUAUUAAUAAUUGUUAGUUAAUGUUUUAUAAUUAUUAAUAAAUUAUUAAUAGGUGUUAUAUGCUAUUCAUCUUUAAUUAUCUGGUUUCUUAAUAGAUGAAUUUAAUUCAGAAUUAAUUUAAUUAUAAUUUAUUAAUGUAUUUUUGUUAUAAUUGAUUAAUUUAAUAUUCAAAGGGAUAAGCUUUUGAAUAAUUCUAUAAUUAUGGUUGAGUUAAUUAAAUUAAGUAGGAUUAGAAAUUUUCAUCAUUUAUUUUGUUAUAAUUAAGUUUUAUUUUUAUUUUAUUUAAUUAUUAUUUAGAUUCUUAUUAAGGAUUAUUAGUGAAUUAUUAAUUAAUAGAUAUUAUGAUAAAAUUAGUAAGUAAUGGUUAAUUAAUAUAUAGUAAUUCGGCAAAUUUAUUCUUCACCUGUUUAACAAAAACAUGUCUUAAUGUAUUUUAUAUUAAGUUUAGCCUGCUCAAUGAUUAUAAAUUAAAUAGCCGCAGUAUUUUGACUGUGCGAAGGUAGCAUAAUCAUUUGUCUUUUAAUUGAAGGCUUGUAUGAAUGGCUGGAUGAGGGAAUUGCUUUCUUUAUAUUAUUUAUUGAAUUUAAUUUCUAGGUUAAAAAGCUUAGAUAAAUAAAUGGGACGAGAAGACCCUGUAGAAUUUAACUUUUAUAUUAAUAUUUAUUUUUUUGGUUAAUAAUCAAUUUUAUUAUUUGUAAAGUUUUGUUGGGGUGACAGUGAGAUUUAUUUAACUCUCAUAAUUUAACUUUUAUUUAUUUAUAUAUUUAUUGAUCCUAUAUUAAGGAUAAUUAGAUUAAAUUACCUUAGGGAUAACAGCGUAAUUUUUCUGGAGAGUUCUUAUCGAUGGAGAAGUUUGCGACCUCGAUGUUGGAUUAAAAUUAGAUUUAAGUGCAGAAGCUUAAUUUCUAGGUCUGUUCGACCUUUAAAAUUUUACAUGAUCUGAGUUCAGACCGGCGUGAGCCAGGUCGGUUUCUAUCUUUUUAUAAAUAUUGUGGAUUAGUACGAAAGGACCAUUUACAUCAAAUAUUUUGUAUUUAUUUGAAUAAUUUU